UCUUUUCCUUUUCAUUAUUAUGAAGGUUUGGUAAUAAGCCUUGUCAAUGGAUUUCUGUCUGAGAGUCUGUAAUUUUUGAUACUUUUGGAUUUAUAUUCUCUGUGAAUGAAGUUAAUCUCUUUCAUGCAAUUUCGAGCAAUUCUGCAUUAAUUUGACUAAUGAAAAGUUGCAGCAACAUUUCAACCAGGUUUGUACCUCACAUAUAUUGAACAAACUUGGGUAGUACUUCCAUUGCACACAAGCUUUUUAUAGCAAUGUAAAAAAUAAACUGAUGAAAGCUGAAACAGUAAUACAAAUAUUACCUUAGCUAUUUUCCUUUUGCAGCAUGUCUUCGAAAUGGAACAAGAAGAGUAUACCAAAGAGGAAAUUGACUGGAGUUAUAUAGAGUUUGUUGAUAACCAAGAUAUUCUUGAUCUUAUAGAAAAGCAAUUGGUAUAUUAUACAUACAAUCAGGUUCUUAGUAGGGAGAAUGGAUUGCACUUCCCAUGGGAUUCCACAUUCUGGAAAUCCUUUUGGAGGACAAAAUUAAAAAUACUAGAGAACAUUAUGCUUCAACCUCAGAAGUCAAUUUAAUUGACAACUCAGAUAAAGAGAGUGCAAAUCUAUUUGGAGAAGAGAUAUACAAACCGGUCAUGGAAACUAUCAGUUUGGAAAUGAAACAACAAGAGAUUGAUGGGAGAUGUAUACGGAUCAGGAAUCUGCAGGUGUACAGUACAAAUAGGGGAAACUGUUCCGCUGUUAAGUCCUUCAUGCACAUUAUGUAGGCCAUCUACCUGAAAUCUCUGUCCUCGAGGUACGAGGUAUUUUCAACGCAACAGCCACAGGCUUGACCGUUCUUGCAUCUGGUUGCCAGAGACCUACUGAACUGGAUCUAAAGCAUUGUACAAACAUCAGCGAUUCAGGAUUUUGGGCCCUUACUUUAGCUGUGCCCCUCCUCAAUUUGUUUUGAGUCUCAUCCAAAAAUUUAAAUGACUGGGAAGGCAAUAGUUGUUUAUCCAAACAGUGUUAAGAUAUGGGACGGCAUAGAAUUAUAAGUUGACAUAUAUGCUGUCUUGAUAUGUGUUCUAUUAUUGGACGGUAGGCAGCAUUCAAAAUCUUUUGAUGAUGACAAAUUUGAGUUAUUUGCCCCUUUAUGGCGAGAAGCAGGAGCUAAUAUGAUGGGUGGGUGUUGUCGCACCACACCAUCUACCAUUGAACCUAUUUCAAGAGUCCUUAAAGAAAGAAUGAUAUAUUCCUAAUAUGGAGAUUGAUUGAUUGAAAUGAUUCAGAGUUAACAUGUUUUUUUUUCUUAGCUUUGCCCUUACAAGAUUCCACCUUUUGUUGAGACAGAAAGUUACGUUGUAACAACGGGUGUUGUAUUACUUUAAUUCAUUAAAAGUAAUAAUAGUUAUCUCCAAUAGUCAUGUAUGCAA